rnacentral:lncRNA from 1 species
CUCCCUGCAAGUAGAGUGUUUAUUGUUGCCCAUUUUACAGAAAACAGAACCAAAGUCUGGCCCGUACAGGUACUAAAACAAACAUCCACCCGCCCACCCCCUCCUAUAUUCCUAGCCACCAAGGCCUGGGAGGAAGAGCAAGCCUAGCAUAGAUGAGGGGCAAAGUCCAGCAGGGAUGGAGUGGCCAGAGGGCGGGCUGGGCAGGUGCAGCUCCCGGUGGCCACAGCCUGGUAGGCAAGGGUGGGGAGGAAUCCUGGGCCGAGGUGGUUUCCGGCAGCCCCUUUGUUCCAGGGCACUAGGCGGGCAGGCAUCGAGGUAGUAAUCAGCAGACAGGGACGCUCAGCGACCCCUGGGCUCUGUCAUCAGCCUCGCUUUACUGGAGGAGAGACUGAGGCCUCCAGCUCCCAGCUGGGAGGGUGGAGAAGCCACACUACUCUGUAGCCCCUAGGAGGAAGUGAUGAGGACUCACAGGGAGGAGCCAGACCUGCCCACUGCCCUCAACCACCACCUUAAUGCCAGUUGUCAUUCCCCCUGAGCCUCCUUAAAGAUACAGCUCUGAGGUCUUUUCCUCCAGGCAGCCUUUCUUGAACACCCUCAGGCAAAGAGCGUUGUCUUCCUCUUCCUCGUCAGCUAAGGGCCCCUUUCUGACCCCCCUGGCUGGACUCAUCCCUACCAGGUCUACUCCUGCUCCCCCCACCUCCGGCCUGGAGUAGAGGAGGGAAAGGAUGAGGAGGGGGAUGUCUGAGACGCUACGGUAAACUGAAUAAUGGCCCCAAAGAUAUCCAGAUCCUAAUCCCUGGAAUCUGUGAAUCUGUUACCUUACAUGGCAAAAUGGAUUUUGCAGAUGUGAUUAAAUUAAGGAUGUUGAGCUGGGGGAUUAUCCUGGAUUAUCCAAAUGGGCUCACUGUAAUCACAGUGUCCUCAUAAGUGAAAGAGGGAAGCAGGAGAGUCAGAGAUUUGAAGAUACCUGCUGCCUUUGAAGAUAAGGAAGGAGCCACGGAAUGCAACUCUAAAGGCUGGAAAAGCUAAGGAAAUGAAUUCUCUCUUAGAGCCUCCAGGAGGAACUAGCCCAGCAGACACCUCGACUUUAGCCUGUUGAAACUCAUUUCAAGACUUCUGCCCUGCAGAACGGUAAGAUAAUUAGCAUGUGUUGUUCUAAGGAACUGAGUUGGUGGUAAUUUGUUGCAGCAACCAGAGAAAAUUAAUAUAGACUGCUAACCCUGCUCCUGCCCAACCAGGUCCCCUCCCUGUGGGGCUAGGCUGUGGCUGCCCAGUGACCCAGCACACUGGUCCCUGCCCCUGUGGGUGACAUCGGCACCUGGAUGUGGAACAAGAACUGGUCAGGGAAGACACUCCCUCAGACACCCUGAUGUUCCUCCUCCAGCUUCCCACCUGGAAGCAGCAGCUCACAUCAGGAGUUCCACUGGCAUGCCUAGGUCAGGGUCGCUGUGAGCUGGGUGGGCCGAGGGUGCCCACAGGCAUUCCCCAGCUACCUUGUAGUCACCUGCAAUGCCAUCACUCCCCAGAAAGCACCCACUGUGUGCCAGGCGCUGAGGACACACAUGUAAACAAAUCAAACAGGAGCCUUCAGCCCCAUAGAAGUCAUAUUUCUCUCUGGAAAAUGCUGGAUGCCCAACCACAGCACACAGCACCCCAACCCUGAGCAAAGUGAGGCAGGAAGGGGGCUCUAGGGCCUGAGGGGAGACAGAAGCUCAUGUUCAGUUUCUGCAGAGAGUGGCUGCUAACUACUCCUCAGUGACUAAUCCAGGAAGGCUUCUGAGAGGAGGACAGGCAUCCAAGAGCUGCCCUCCCUGGAGGCUGCUGUCUACUAGGAGGGCUGAGGCUUCACCUGGGGGAACAGGAGGGAUGCCAUGAAAGGCUGGUGGAGCCCUGGGGGAGGAGGUGCAAUAAUGAGAAAUUAAUGAGUGGAGAUGAAGGUGAUGAGGGCUCUAACAGCUAGGGAGAGGAGCCAGGAUCCCUUGGGUAGGCCAGGGAGGUCCAGGAGCAACCCCACCAAAUUAUGGGACACUAUCUGACCCAGAGGGCAGCCUUGGCCUCUUUGAACCUCGGUGACCAUAGCUGCCCACAGCAUAUUAGGGUCCCAUAAGCCACAACCCAUAGAGGAAGUCAAGGCUCCCAUUGCAAGUUGGUAUUCAGCCCCCUGGUGGUAGCCAGUCUUUGAGGCUCAGGCCCUAUCUGUCCCUCCUGAGCCCUGGUCAGGCCUGGUCACCCCUGCCCCUCCAGGCCCAAGUCCCAGCCAGGUGCACGGCAGCAACCCAGGACCAGCAUGGAGACAGCUGGAUCCCACUCAGGCCCAGCCUGCAGGCAGCAGAGUGGGAAACAAACUCCACAGCCUGGGGGAGCCAGCCUUGCAGUGGGCCAGUCAGGGGGUGUGGUCAGGAAUAAGAGCAGCAGCUUUGCCCUCCAAAGAUGGGGCCCCCCAGCCACCUGCGGUGAGCACAAAGGAUGAGCAGAUCAGAGCCUUCAGUCCCUGGUACUGGCCGAGGAUGCUCCCCCAGGGCUCUGACGAUGACUAGGGGGGCACUCAGGAGGACCCUGUGAGGAUCAGGGCUGGGGGGUGCCCCAGGAGGGCCCCUGCAGAUGUCGGUCAGGGAGCUCACCAGCUGGGUUCCCACGAGUGAUGAGGAUCAAGAGUACUCCCAAUUGGAUUCUCACGGAGACCAGGUUUAGGAGCACUUUCCAGCAGGACCUUUACAAAGAUGGAGGUCAGUGCACCCUCAGCCUGAUGCCCAUGGGAUUGGGGUCGGGGUGCCCCCAGAGGCUCCCUGUGGGAACAACGGUAGGGUUGCUCCUUGAGAGGGUCCCUGCCCUGUGGUGAUGGUGCCGGGAAUGAUCCCGCCAGGCCUCUCUGUGGAAAAAUGGGUGCUUGCCAUGCACCCUGCUGAGGCCUCUACGGGGACCAUGGCGAGUGGUCCCGGCCAUAUGACACUAAGGUCUCCAAGCCUUGGGACAGGGCCUGCAGCACAUUCGCGUUUACUGAGGCGUCCACACUCUCCUCCUGCCCCGUGCUUGCGGGGCCCAGCUGGGUCCAGCCUCCACCCCCCACAUGCGGUCCGAGGGCCUGUCCUCUCGCUCCUCGGCCUCCGCCAGGUCUUCGGGGACCCCCUCGGCCUCCGGCGCGUCCUCCUCAGCCCCUGGCCGGGCGGCGUCCAGGACAGGGCCCGCGGGGCGCGGCGUCCAGGCGGGGGUCCAGGGCGCCCCGGGCGUGGGCCGCGGCGCGAACCAGGGAAGGCCGGGCGCCGGGGCGAGCGCUACGAGCUGGGGCCGCGCGGGGCCGGAGGCGGCGGCGUGCGGGAUGAGAAAGAAGAUGUAGACGCCGGAGACCACGAGGCCCGCGGCCACCAGCACGGCCAGCGCCACGGCCGCGUUGAAGAGCCAGGUGGUGCUGGCCAGCGUCCGGCGGCGCGACAGCGGGCGGCCGAGGCGCAGCGGCGGCGGCGGCGGCGGGAGCGCGGCGCGGGCCU